CCUACGGGAGGCAGCAGUGAGGAAUAUUGGUCAAUGGCCGGAAGGCUGAACCAGCCAUGCCGCGUGAAGGUCAGUGCCCUAUGGGCGUUAAACUUCUUUUGUGCGGGAGCAAUAAUGGUCACGUGUGGCCAGACGAGAGUACCGUACGAAUAAGCAUCGGCUAACUCCGUGCCAGCAGCCGCGGUAAUACGGGGGAUGCAAGCGUUAUCCGGAUUUAUUGGGUUUAAAGGGUGCGUAGGCUGUGAGGUAAGUCAGCGGUGAAAUGCCCCCGCUCAACGGGGUGAAGUGCCAUUGAUACUGGCUGGCUGGAAUGCGGAUGCAGUGGGAGGAAUGUGUGGUGUAGCGGUGAAAUGCAUAGAUAUCACACAGAACACCGAUUGCGAAGGCAUCUCACGAAUCCGCGAUUGACGCUGAUGCACGAAAGCGUGGGUAUCAAACAGGAUUAGAGACCCUAGUAGUC
rnacentral:rRNA from 1 species